CUGUCCGCGGGCGCAAUAUCUCUGCGAAUGAGGGUUAGCUGCUUUCGGAAGGUACAGUACACGGGAUAAAAAGGAAAGCUGCAAAAAAACGGGAGGGAAAUACUUUCGGUAUUGACUGAGAGGCUUUAUUAGCCGUUGAUGCAUGUCAGAAAACAAAUUUUAACAUGCCGGUCCCGUGUUUUGCAGCAAACGGAAAAACUGCUACGGACCUGAGGCUGCGAUAGGCAGAGGAUAUUUAUUGAGAAUAAUUUGCAGACCAGGAUCCCAAUGCAAGUUCUCCAUUAAGCGGAGUGAUCAGGAUCUGAGUAUCAUUGACACUUAACAGUGAAAGGAAAGAGGUUUAACCAUUCUAUGCGUGGGAGAAUACUCCUGGACCUUUCGUGAUCUAAUCCCGUAACAGUGUGAGCUGCUACAAUGCACAUGCUAGUAAAAGCAUAAGAGGACAGAUGAGAUGAGUGCAUGGCUGGAGCUAUAACUUAAAAAGAUUUGGAUUCCUGAGGCAUUGAGACUGUUUGUUUGUUUCUGGGGAAGGUGGGACAUGCACAAGCUUGAACAAUUGUCCUGGGCAGAGCUGGGACAGAUAUUCUUGUUGAUGCUUUUGCUAGUUCCACUGGUGAGGAUUUAAACUCGUAUGACAGGGGAAUGGGAACCAAAGUAUACCUUUAGCAGUAAAAGACUCAAAUCAGCAAAUGGGACGUGAAAUUAGUUCAUGAUGUUGUCGGUGGCUGAAAGAUUAAAAGAAAGAAGGAUUAAUCAAGAUCAAAUCUCUUUUCAUACAUCAGUCCUGUGAUCCCAGGAAUUGGUCUGGUGAACCUUCUUUGCGA